rnacentral:rRNA from 1 species
GAUGAACGCUGGCGGCGUGCCUAAUACAUGCAAGUCGAGCGAACGGACGAGAAGCUUGCUUCUCUGAUGUUAGCGGCGGACGGGUGAGUAACACGUGGAUAACCUACCUAUAAGACUGGGAUAACUUCGGGAAACCGGAGCUAAUACCGGAUAAUAUUUUGAACCGCAUGGUUCAAAAGUGAAAGACGGUCUUGCUGUCACUUAUAGAUGGAUCCGCGCUGCAUUAGCUAGUUGGUAAGGUAACGGCUUACCAAGGCAACGAUGCAUAGCCGACCUGAGAGGGUGAUAGGCCACACUGGAACUGAGACACGGUCCAGAGGCCUACGGGAGGCAGCAGUAGGGAAUCUUCCGCAGUGGGCGAAAGCCUGACGGAGCAACGCCGCGUGAGUGAUGAAGGUCUUCGGAUCGUAAAACUCUGUUAUUAGGGAAGAACAUAUGUGUAAGUAACUGUGCACAUCUUGACGGUACCUAAUCAGAAAGCCACGGCUAACUACGUG